rnacentral:tRNA from 1 species
GGUGCUGGUGCUCCAAGGGGUGCCGCCCCUGUUGUGGGCGGCGGUCUGGUGGUUCGCGGUCGCCGAUCGCCCC